UGCUCUGCCUGAGGGUACAGAAGGGGAGGUACUCAACUGUGGGACAGAUCAGAACACAGGGGGCUGAGCUCCUCGCCACCUGUCCCUACACCCAGGAAUCCGGGCCCCUGGCCCCUCGUCCCUCAGACCCAGGAGUCCCGGCCCCUAGACCCUCCUCCCUCAGACCCAGAGGUCCAGACCUCCACCCACCUCCUCCCUCAGACCCAGGAGUCCAGGCCGACAGCCCCCACAUCCCUGAGACCCAAAAAUCUGGGCCCCCAGCCCCUCCUCCCUCAGACCCAGAAGUCCAGGCCUCCACCCCCCUCCUCCCUCAGACCCAGGAGUCCAGACCCCCAGACCCUCCUCCCUCAGAUGAGGGAGUCCUGACCACCAGCCCCUCCUCCCUCAGACCCUCCUCCCUCAGACCCCUCAGCUCCUCCUCCCUCAGACCAGGAGUCCAGACCCCCAGCCCCUCCUCCUUCUGACCCAGGACCCAGACCCCCAGCCCCUCCUCCCUCAGACCCAGGAGUCCAGACCCCCAGCCCCUCCUCCCUCAGACCCUGGAGUCCAGACCCCCAGCCCCUCCUCCCUCAGACCCAAGAUCCUGAACCCCAGCCCCCUCCUCCCCCAGACCCAGGAGUCCAGACCCCCAGCACCCACAUCCCUCAGACCCAAAAAUCUGGGCCCCCAGCCUCCUCCGCCUCCCUCAGACCUCCCCUAUCAGGAACCAGAAGUCCAGGCCCCCAGCCCCUCCUCCCUGGGAAUGUAGACCUUAGGUCCCAGGGGACUGAACUCACCUUGACCAGGUAACCCCCAAAAUGGGCUCCCAUGUUGGAUAGAACCUUCUUCUUUUUGGCAUCAUCCUCAGCCCGCUUCUUGGCCUCUUCUUCCUCCUUCCGCAUUUUCUCCUCCUAAGGGAAGAAAGGGGUUGACCCCAAGGCCACCCUCUGGGGGGAGGGGUCUGAGAUUCCGGUGGGGGAGGGGGGGGCUCAGGUGUGAGCUGAUGGAAGCAGCAAUCAAAAUCAACCAGACCCAAGGCACGGGACAAAGUCAAGGUCAGGAAAGGCAAAAAUGCAGGCAUUCUGCUCGUGGCCCUUCCAGGCCCGGCUCUGUGACCACCUGGGCUCUGUGACCACCUGUGAGUCCCUUUCCUCUCUGGUCCUUAAUAUCCCUCAAGCAAGAAUUAAAAUGCAAGGGAUGUGCCUGCUUGUUUUCUACAUUCCUGUAGCCUGAAGGCCGAUGGUGAGCGUUGCUGUGUGGCCUCAGUGCAGAUACUCACCCUCUCUGGGCCUUCAUCUCCCUUAUUCUCAGGAGACAAGAAUGUCUCAGAGGAUGAAGGAGGGUAACUGGUGACGGGGUGGGGGGCUUGGGGCACUAGAAGGGGCUGAAUGGCCUCGAGCCUGAGGAAGGGGUUCUGGAACGUCUAGUGACGGCAUCCCCACGUUUCAGAAAGCCUGCACCGCGUGCCCCAGAAAUGGUGGCUUGCAGACCAACCCCUCUGCCCCCUGGAAGUGCUGGUGAGGUGGGCACGAUGGGUUUUUGCAGGCCCCACCUGAAUCAGUGUCCUCCUGCUGCUGUAAUUGGCAAACUGAGGGGCUUAAACCAGCAAAAGCUUAUCACCUUACAGCUCCGAGGGUCAGAAGUCUGAAAUGGGUCUUACGGGCUAAAACCAAGGAGUGAAGAGGGCCGGUUCCUUCUGGGGGCUCCUGGGGAGAAUCUACUCCCUUGCCCUUGCUUCUAGGCACCGCAUGCAACCCUUGGCUCCUGGCCCCUUCCUCCCUCUGCAAAGCUAGCAGGACGGUAUCUUCAAGUAUCUCUGACUCUGACCCUACGGUCUCCCUGUUGUAAGGACCUUUGUGAUAACACGAGGCCGAUCUGGAUAAUUCAGAAUCAUCUCCCACCUCAACGUCCUUAACUCGAUCGCACCUGCAAAGUCCCUUUUGCCAUGCCAGGUACCAUAUUCACAGACUCUGGGAAUUGGGACAUGAACAUCUUUGGGAGACCAGUAUCUUGCCGACCGUGUCAGUCUACUACCAAUCUUUGAAAGUGGUUCAGGCGGGCCACUCCUUGAUUCCAAGUCAGGUCGUGCCUCCAAGGCCCUACACCAACGGGAAUAUUCUAACCAGGGGCCUACCACUAGCCAGCAAUUUGCUCCAAGACGGACAGGUGACCAGUCUGAACGCACCCCGGGAUCAUGCAGAAGACAGACAAAAGAGUUUGAGCCCAAGUAGCUGGUGGUCAUUUGUCACCCCUGCCUGAGAACGGGGUGUCCAGUAGGGUGACCAACAACUCCGUUCGCCUCGGUCUGGUGGGAUACAGGAUUUUCAGGGCGCCGACCAGGAAAGUCCCAGGCAAACCCAGGAUGAGCUCACCACCCGCAAUUAGAAAGGUGAGCCCGGGGGAUGGGAAGAGAAGAGCUGGGAGAGUUUGCUUAAGUUCCUUGAUCCAGCCAUACCUGAAGCAAGUCACACUCUACACUUGUCUAGUUAUGUGAGCCAAUAAAAUUCUCUUUCUGCUGAACCCAGUUUGGGCUGGGGUUUCUGCCCCUUCCAACCGACAGACCCUUGAAUAACACAGCACAAGGGCUCUCUCAGGACCGCAGACAGUAUCAUGACUGGGAAACAGAGCAACCAGCUGAAGAAGUACAUUUGGUCUCCCAGGGGAGGGGAGGCACCCACCGCCAGCUUAGCCUGCCGCUCGCGCUCCUUCUCGGUUCUGAAGCGCUGUUGCUCAGCUCUCUCUGCCCGGCGCCGCUCCUGGAGGAGAGAGCAAAAUGAGGGGGUGUAGGAACCCCCCCUCCCCCCCCCCCCCCCCCNNNNNNNNNNNNNNNNNNNNNNNNNNNNNNNNNNNNNNNNNNNNNNNNNNNNNNNNNNNNNNNNNNNNNNNNNNNNNNNNNNNNNNNNNNNNNNNNNNNNNNNNNNNNNNNNNNNNNNNNNNNNNNNNNNNNNNNNNNNNNNNNNNNNNNNNNNNNNNNNNNNNNNNNNNNNNNNNNNNNNNNNNNNNNNNNNNNNNNNNNNNNNNNNNNNNNNNNNNNNNNNNNNNNNNNNNNNNNNNNNNNNNNNNNNNNNNNNNNNNNNNNNNNNNNNNNNNNNNNNNNNNNNNNNNNNNNNNNNNNNNNNNNNNNNNNNNNNNNNNNNNNNNNNNNNNNNNNNNNNNNNNNNNNNNNNNNNNNNNNNNNNNNNNNNNNNNNNNNNNNNNNNNNNNNNNNNNNNNNNNNNNNNNNNNNNNNNNNNNNNNNNNNNNNNNNNNNNNNNNNNNNNNNNNNNNNNNNNNNNNNNNNNNNNNNNNNNNNNNNNNNNNNNNNNNNNNNNNNNNNNNNNNNNNNNNNNNNNNNNNNNNNGCGGCCUCCCAAAGGGAGCGGGACCCGGCGCCUCUUCCCAAUUUGCACAAAAGCGCCCUGGGGACCGGAUGUCCAGGUACUUACAUCGAAGUCCACACGUUCCCCUUCUGGGAUCUUCGGGGGAAUCAGCGGAGGGACCACAGGCCUGUCGGGCGGAAAGGGGGGAAAACUGGGGCUCCCGGGCUGCGCCGACCAGCAGGUGGCAGCCACGCGCGGUUCGGAGCACCAGGCAGGUGGCUGGCUCGUCCGAAUCCAGAUUCCGUGGGCUUGCCAGUGAAAUUUCCAAAACUUGCCGCCAGCAAACGCAUGUAAAAUAGUUCACUAAUAAUGUGUCCUACCGAUUACAUGUUCAAAUGAUGAAAUUUCAGAUAUAAUGGGUUGAAUUAAAAAAAUGCUGUUAAGAUGAAUUUUACCCGUUUUGUGUUACUUUUUAAAACGUGGCUUGUAAAAAAUAUAUAGUUACAGACGCGGCUUGCGUUGUAUUCGUACAGGGCGGUGCAUUGGGGGCGGAGCGUGGUCAGCCCUCCAUCCGGCUUUAAUCGGAAUUCUCGCCUCUGUUUUUUUUUUUUUUUUUAUGUUUUUAUUUAUUUUUGAGACAGAGAGACAGAGCAUGAGCAGGGGAGGGGCAGAGAGGGAGGGGGACACAGAAUCCAAAGCAGGCUCCAGGCUGUCAGCACAGAGCCCGACUCGGGGCUCGAACUCACGGAGUGUUCUAUCAUGACCUGAGCUGAAGUCGGACGCUUAACCGACUGAGCCACCCAGUCGCCCCUCUCCUCUGGUUUUUAAGACAGCACGUUCACCUGAUUUCUUCCCGCUCCUCUGAAGGGAGCUCUUCUGAGAGCUUUGCCCUUUUAUUCAUCCAUGGGACACUCUCAUGACCCGUGUCCCUCACUUCCGUGACUUUGAUUAUCAUUAAUUAUGGGGGAUUCACCGACUCCGUCUCCAGCCUGGACUCGCUUCUAAGUCCCAGACUCAGGUUAACAGGAGCCUCCUGAACAUUUCCCGCUUUCUCACAUGUCACGCCCUCGCUGAACUCAUCGACUUCCCCAAGACCGAGUGGGGUUCCCAGCCCAGACCCCAGACCGUGGUCCUUACCUCCUCCCUCCCUUCGCCCCAAUGGCAAGUCCUGACCCCUUUGCCUGGCAAUCUCCCCAGUCUGUUCCCUCCUUUCCACCCCUUGCCCCCUGCCCCAGCUCAGGCCUCAGUCCUUCUCACCAGAACCUUCCUGCCAGCCUCCUCCUGGCCUCCCAUUCUCCAGCUGUCCACCUUCGGUUCCUCAUCUUUCAUGACUUUAGAGGGGCAUUUCUAACACCCAGAUCGCAUCCUUAAGACAAAGUCCAAGCAACUCAGCAUUCAAAGCCCUUCUCCAUCCGGCCCCAGUCAACUCCUCCAGCAACUUCUCUCCUCCCUCACAGACACAUUUCACGGUUCCCUGGCUAAGCCAUGUGCCUUUGUACCCCUGGGCCUUUCAUAUGCUGUUCCCUCUGCCUGCAAUGCCCUUCCCCUGAGGCCUUCCCUCCUCCUGAAGCACACCUAUGAUCUCUUGCUCCCCCUUACUCUCUCACUCAGGUCUGUCUCCUCUACUCAAAACCCCUCCAGGACUCCCCAGGGCCCCCUGGCCUUCAGGGCCCCGCCCCUUCUUGCCCUCCACACUCCAGCCACAAUGGAAUUGGUGUCACUGCCCAAACCAACCCAGAGAACUCUGCUUCUAAGUUAUUUCUUAUGCUUGCGUUGCUGCCUCCUUGCGUCUCCAAGCUUGGGCCCCGAUGUCACUUCCUCCAGGACCCUCUGCCCCCAUGAGCUUUCAUGGCCUCCACAGAGCUGCCUAGUUUGGAACCUCAUCAUCAGAAUGAGCUGUGUCUGUGUUGGUUCCCUGAAAGCCUGGCCUAGAUCCAGCCGCCACACCCUGCAGGCUUUCUCACCUACAAUACCCCUCCGGCCUCCUUCAGCUAGUGAACUCUUCAUCCCUCAGGACUGAGGCAUCACCUCCCCUGGGAAGCCUUCCCUGACUACCUAGGGCAAACAUAGGGCCCUCUUCUGUGCUACCAUCACUGUAACGGGGUCUGUUGCCCCAACAGAGCAGACAGGGUCUGACUUGCCCAACACCACGGGAAGGUCUCUGGAACGUGUGCUGAAAGAAGGAAGCCCUGUCCUUUCCCGUUUCAAUUGCCCCAGCUCCUUUCCUGCUUUCCCCCCCCCCACCCUAUCUCUGGUGGGGCACACAUUAAGGAGGAUAAGAUUGGGACGCCCCCCACCUCCACCCUCCUAGGAUCUCACCUUGGUUUGGGCCGCUCCUCUUCUAAUGGGGAAACACAAAGAGAUAAUUAACAAGAGUUCAUAGGGGCUGGCCUGACACGCCCAGAGAGGGAACACCCCCCUCCAAGCUAUGGCCCCCAGGAGCAGCUCUAGGGGAGAGGCAUGAGUGGGGGGCAAGAGGGGGGAAGGAAAUCAGGGUGGCCGUAAAGGAGGAAGAGGGUCACACGCAUCAGAUAUACAUUCAGAACUGGUGUGGGGAUCCCCCCCCCACAGGGGUCCAAACCCCCAGACCUUCCUCCUAUCACCUCCUAUCACCUGCUCAGCUCCCUCCCCCGCACCCCCCUCCCCCGCAUUAAGACCUAGCACUGCAGGGUGUCCCCAGCCCCUCCCCCUUGGGGACACAGGAAUCCCGAGCUCCCAGUAAUAGCCUCUUCUGCAACUCGGGCCCCAACCUUUGAAUGUAUAUGUCGGAAAAAAAUAACAGACAGGGUCGGGGGCGAAGAUGGGCGGGAGGGGGAGGGUGCCUGUCCGCAAACAUCCAACCCUUCUACAAGUAUUCCUCCAGGUUGGGGAAGAAGGCUUGGGUGUCGGUCCCUUUAAGAAGGAAGGGAAAGGGUUAAAGCCUCAGCGAGGCCAUUUCCCUUCGUGGACACCAGAGGGCGCGCGAGCUCUCCGGGGCUUAAAGGACCGGGCCUGGGCGGGUUACGGGGGGCGCAGGGGUUCCUCGCGGGGGUCAGGGCCCGAGGAAAUCGGUCUCGGCAAGCGAAGCAGCCGCGGUUACCUCGCUCUGCCACCGGCUCCGGCUCCUCGGCGGCUGGGAGGAGGCAGGGGGGAGGGGGAGAGGGGAGAAGCGAGGAUGGGGGAGCGAGGGGGAGCGGCCACGCCGGGGAGUGGGGGGCAGAGAGGAAAGAGAGGGGAGAGGCUGUUAAAGGACCUGAAGCCGGGGCGGUCGGGAGCCCCGUCCCCGCCGGCCUCUGCCCUGCCCAGCGCCCCCUCCCCACCCGGCCCCGCGGGGCAGCCCUCGAGGCUGCAGCCCCGCGGAGUCCAGGCCUCACCUUCCUCCUCCUCCUCCUCCGCAGCCUCCUCUGCAGGUAGGGGUGGGGGCAGAGAAAGCAGGGUUAGGAGACCUCGGGGCCCGCGCAAGGCGCCGGGACCCCGGAGGGUGGGCGUGGGGGCGGUGGGUGACCCCGCCUGCCCUCUCGCCUCCCGCCUCCCGCCUGCGUGUCCCCAGGCCACCAAGGCCGGCCCACUCCCCACUCACCUUCGGGCUGCUCCCUGAGGGCAGGGAUGGGAGGAAAGAGCGAGAGGGACGGUUAGACGUCUUGCAGGUGGGAGAAUGUUCCCACAUCUCCACGCCCCCAGCCCUCCCGCCUGCCACUCACUCCUCAUAUUCCUGCUCCUCGGUGUCAGACAUCCUGUGUGACCUGAGGACCACAAAACGCGGCAGUGAGAUGGGGUCCCGAUGGAGGAGGGGCUGAGGGCCUGGACUCCUGGUCUGAGGGAGGAGGGUCUGGGGUUCAGGACUUUCGGUUCUGAGGGAGGAGGUCCUGGGAGGUCAGGACUCCUAGUUCUGAGGGAGGAGGGGCUGGGGGUCAGGACUCCUGGGUCUGAGGGAAGAGGGACUGGGGGUCAGGACUCCUAGGUCUGAAGGAGGAGGGGCUGGGGUUCAGGACUCCUGGGUCUGAGGGAGGAGGGGCUGGGGGGCAGGACUCCUGGGUCUGAGGGAGGAAAGGCUGGGAUCUGGACUCCUGGGUCUGAGUGAGGAGGGGUUUGGGGCCUGGGGCCUGGUCUGAGGGAAGAGGGACUGGGGGUCAGGACUCCUAGGUCUGAAGGAGGAGGGGCUGGGGUUCAGGACUCCUGGGUCUGAGGGAGGAGGGGCUUGGGGCCUGGUCUGAGGGAGGAGGUCCUGGGGGUCAGGACUCCUAGGUCUGAAGGAAGAGGGGCUGGGGGGCAGUACUCCUGACUGGGGGCCUGGACUCCUGGGUCUGAAGGAGGUGGGGCUGGGGGCCUGGACUAUUGGGUCUGAGGGAGGAGGGGACUGGGGGCCUGGUCUGAGGGAGGAGGGGCUGGGUGUAGCUGGGCUCUUAGGUCUGACGGAAGAGGGGCAGGGGGGCGGCAGGGGGCCUGGACUCUUGGGUCUGAGGGAGGAGAAGCUGGGGGCCAGGACUCCUGGGUCUGAGGAAGGAGGGGCCGGGGGCCCUGACGGGGAAAGGGCUUUGGGCGGUGUGGUCGGGCACAGCCCCAAAGCCACCACUCCUGCCCCUCCACCACCACAGCUGUCCUCUUUUGUCUUAUGACAUGUCCAUGGGAACCCGAUCUGAGCUGGGAUUAGGAGAAGGUAUUUGGGAAGGGACUGUGGCCUGAAGACAAUAGCUGUCCCACCUCCAAAGGCUAUUUCGGGGGGAUGUCGUAGAUGGUGAAAUAGAGGACAUUUCCUAAGAAGGGAUUCAAGGGGGGAGGCUCCUGGGAGACUUAGUCACCCCCGCUCCCUCCCACCCCUCCCCCUCCCCUCUGGCUGGUUACCUUCCCACCUGUCCCCUCCUUUCCCCACUGCCCACAGCCUAGGAGGAGGCAGGACGGGACAAGAGCAGCCCCGUCCACAGACCUCAUCCUGACCCCUACAGGGACACCACCCCGACUUUGAGGUCCUCCAGGCUCCACAGCACCCAGGUUAAGAGCAUCCCUAAAUCCUGAUACCCGCAGAUCCUGAGACCCCAAUUUACGACGUCGUCCCUGGUUUCUGGGGACACGCAAGUCCUCAUGUCUCCAGAUUCCGAGACCCCAAUACUUGAGACCCCAGACUGUGGGCUCAGACUUCCUCAGAUCCUGACGCCUGAGGUCUUAACACCUAAGUUCUGAAGCCUCAGCAUCCUGAGACCCCCAAUUCCUGAAUCCCCAGAGUCUGAGGCCCCCAGUCCUGACAUUCAGAUUGUCUAAUAUCCAAGCCCAGAUACCCCCCAAUUUCUGAGAUUCCCUCAGACUCAGACCUCCCAGGUCUGAAGGUGUGCUCCUCUGGGACGCCCCAAUCUCGGCACCCCCAGACUCUGUAAUUCCCAAAUCCUAAUACUCCAUCCUAGGUCCCCAUAAGGGCUGAGCUUCCCAAAUUCUCAAGCCUUUAUUUGGUGCCCCCUCCACCUCCGUGGCUCCUCUCCACACCCCUCGCGUUUCCCUCCCGUCCCCUCCUCCAAGUACAAAGUCCCUGGAGACAGCAGGACCGUUACCUAAGGCUGGGUCUGCAGGAGCGGAGAACGGCGGCGGGGCAGAGCCUGGCUGACCGAGCUGAAGCACCCCUGGGUUUAUAGCUGAGGCUCAGCCCCGCCUCCCAGGGGACAGGGAGGGGGAGGAAUUCCUUUCUCCAACUGGGAGUCCCAGCUCUGGGGCGGCCCUGCCCCCACUCGGGCUCCACAUUUAGGAUCCUGGCUCCUCCCGGCUGCUUGGGGACCCCUCCACCCCAUCAGCACCGCCCUGAUCCCAGGCUGGGUCAGGUGACCCCGACCUCUGGGCUCCCCACCUCCCGUACAGCACGCUGCAUUCUCUGCUUUGGAGUCCCUGGGCUCAGCACACAGUAGGUCCUUGGAGAAUAGUUAUUGACAAAAGGGGGACCGUGGGGCGCUUGCUUUCUCCCUUGUGGUUUCUGUCUCUGGGCCUCCACCUCUCUGACACUGCCUCUCCUUUGUCCCUGUGACUCUCCGCCUGUGGGUCUGUCUUUCCCUCUGUCUCUGUCCAUCUCUCUGUCUCCCCCUCCCCACCCCCACCCCUUUGUCUGCCACCCGGAUUCCACCCCGGUGACAACAGGCGCUAAAGCGGGGAAGCAGGUGUGGGUGGGGGGAAGGGAGAGGGUGUGGUGUCAGGCCCGCACCACCUCACACUCCCCCACCUCCGUCUGACACUGAUCUGUUUUGGUGUUCCUCCCUCCCCCCCCUCCUUUCCCUGCCAAGCCGUGACCUUGAACUCUAGGGGAGCCAGCCCCGAGGGCGGGAUUCCUCACCCCUCCUGCCUCCCCGUGUCUCUGUCUCUCACUGUCUGCCAUCUCUGUUUCUAUUUCUGUGACUUUCUCGGAGGGGGGGGGGAGGGUCUCUUUGGGUCUGUUCCAGGCUCUCCCGGGAGCUUUCUGCGUCUCUGCGGUUUUCACUCUGCACGUCUCCCCAUGCAUUUUUGUCUCCACAUUUCUGCGGGUGUCUCGGCCAAUCUGCAUCUCUCGGUAUCUGUCUGCUGGUGUCUGUCCGUGACCCCGUUUCUGUCUCUGUCUGGCUCUGGAUCCGUGUCUGUGUCUUUCUAGCUCUUCCCGGGGGGUCUGUGUCUCUGCCCUUCCCCCUACUUGGGCCCCCCUUUUUGUCUCUUUCCAUGGCCUCUGUGUUUCCUUGUGUACAUCUGCCUCUCCACUUCCCCUUUCUUUGCAGAUCUUUCUAGGAAUGGCUGUCUCGUCUCCCUCUCUUUGGGUCUCUGGCUCUCUCUGGGCCUGUGACUCAGUCUCUCUGUGUCUCUGUGCGUGUCUCUCUCUGGGCCUUGGUCGGGGCAUCUCCGUGCACCCCCAUUCUCACUCCCAGAGGAGCUGCGAAUGCCCGCACGGCCCCUGGCCACCCAUGCUGUGUGGUGUGGCUUCUCCGUCUCCCUCACGCCACAGCCCCCGCCCCGGUAGCAAGACGUGCAGCCACUCUUAGCUCAGAGAGAAGCUUUAUUCCUCAGGGACGCCUUCUGCCUUCAGGGCCAGGGCGGCGGGGCAGCCAGCUCAGCCCUCAAACUUUUUCUUGCGGCCCUCCAUGCCACUCAGCGCGUCGAUGUUUUUCCGCCAGUCUCCCACCUCCCGGUUUUCCUGGAGGGGUGGGUUCAGAGGUGAGGGGCUCUCAAGUAUCCUCCGCCCACCCUCCAGCCUCUCCUUGGGAUGUCCAGCCCGGGAUCUGGUUCUGGAACACUCCUUGUCCCCUCAGGCAGUCCGUUCAACCCCCCCCCCCCAUCCUGUCUCCCUCAGGCACUUCUAGCCUCCUUGCUUGCCGGUUACUUCCUGUUACACCCUGCGGCUUCCCUUCUUGUCUCCCGCGUGCUCUAUUCUUCUCUCUAUUCCUCUCUAGUGGGGACUUCCUGUUGUAGACCUCAGGCGCAUUUUGACUCCUCGCUACUUCCUUUCUCCACAGUGCCUGUUGAGGCUCCCUGGCCAGAUUCUUCCCCCCAUAACCCAAGUACCAUCUGUCCUGAGCUUAGGCCCCAGGAGUGCUCCCCCCACACCCUCUCCUCUGAGCACCCCCUUUCCUGGCCCUAGCCGCACUCACCUUCUCUGUGUCCUCCUUCUUCACCUGCUUGAGGUGGGCCCGCAGGUCUAAGGACUCCUUAGCCCUAGUGCCCAGCAGUGCCUGCAUCAUGGCAUCCGCAGAGAUCCUCACCCUCCGCAGGGUGGGCCGCUUAAACUUGCCCCGAAGGUCAAAGAUCUUCUGGGUCAGAUCUGCGAUCUGGGGGCAGCCAUCAGGGGAGUGGAGACUUGCCCUCCUCCGGUCCCCCCCUCCCCCAGCCCCACUCUCGCACCCUACACCUCCCUCCUAUCUCCCUCCAGGCCUCAUCCAGGCUCUCCCUCCCUCAGCUCCCACCGCCUUCAGGAAAACAUCCAAGCUCCUCAUCCAGGAACUGGCAGCCCUCCCGGAUCUGCCCAGCCUCAUCUCUGAAAAACACUGACACUUCCUGGCCCAGCUGCACGCAUCCCACAAAAUUCCCUGUGCCACGCGUGAGCUCGCUCAUCAACCCUCCGCGCUCCGGCGACACAUUUCCGAGAACACGUCUUCUGUUUUCCCACCUCCUGGCUGCUGCAUGCUGUCCCCUCUGCCUGGAACAGCCUUCCCUAACCGCUUUGUACUCAUUCUUCUGCUCCUGUCUGCCAGGCCCACAGAGCUGACCCGGGUCUCUCGGUGUCUGCCACCACAAGCAGCUGCAAGAGAUCAGGCUGAGACCACAGCCCCAGGCACCACACCCUACCCUGGAAGGAAGGAGACUGCCCAAUGCCUCCCACCUCCGUGAUGUUCUUGGUGACUUUUGCCUCCACGUCGUAUCUCUCUUCAUCCACUUUGUCCACGCGGGCGUGGAGUUGUCGGCACAAGUCCUGGUCAAGGAAUGUGGUGUAUGUGGUGGUGCUGGGGGGGAGGGGUGUGUCCCGAUUCCUGCAUCUGAGGGAGGAGGGGCCGGGGGCCUGGACAUCAGAUCCUGCAGGAGUAGUUUGAAGCCCGACUCUGGAGCGGUUGGAACAAAGGGUGCUAGGAGCCAGGGGUCCCGAGAAUCUGACGGAAUCGGGGCUGGAGAAAUCAACCUCUGGCUUUUGGGACUUGUAGGCAGCUGCGGGCCGUAUUUCUGAACUCCUGAGAGGAAGGAUUGGGAGACUGGACCCCAAGGUCCCGAGCAGAAGUGGGGGAUAGUGACUAGACCUGUGAGUCGUCCCAAGGAUGCAGGACGGGACACUAGGAACCUCGGAUCCCGGGCCGGGCCGGAGUCCCAGAGGAGUACCUGCAGCUCCGCGAAGCCCAGCCCGGCCAACUCCAGAGGCUGGCACCGCGUGCUCAGAGCGCGCCCCUUCUCUCCGCGCCGCUCCUCCGCCUCCCGCUCAAGCUCCUGCUUCGCGAUCUGCAGCAUCAGGGUCUGCGGAGGGGAGGCCGGGGACCGCAGCCCGUCCGGGGCAGCGCAUGAGGGCCGUGCGGUACCGGGAAAGCCGCGCCGGCCAAGUCGGCCCACCAGUCCCCAGCUAGGACGGUCUUCUGGAGACACGCCCCUCCGGGGCCUGUCCAUCAUUCCAAGGCCCCGCCCCCUCGUGGGGCUACCCACCACACGGCCACGCCCACCCAUACAAGCACGACUCUCCAGCCCUGCUCGCCCCCCGCGAGGACACCGAGGCGCCCUCUCCAGGCCUAUCCUCACCUUCAGCUGCAGUUUCCUCGAGGCGGAAAUCUUGGACUUUUUCUGCCGGGGUGAGACGGAGCAAGGAGCAAUCAAGGCGGGGAGGCGAAGACGGGCGGUGAGAGGGGCCUCACGGCCGCUCCCUCAAGCCCCGCCCAGAUUCGGCCCGCCUCCAACGCCUGCCCUGAAUCUACCGGAGGCCUCGCCCCUUAGUCCCCUCCACCAAUCCGAACUUCUGACUGAUUAGGCACCGCCCCCUACGCCCUAAGCAAUCGCAGUUCCCUUGGGCAACGGAACUCCGCCCAUACGCAGCUUUCACCGAUCCGAGCCAGGCCCUCGGCAAAACUCCGCCCCCGAGGUGCCCCAUCCGCCUUGGCUCCGCCCACUACCGGAGCCCCGCCCCUCCUUCCCCAGGUUCAGACAGCCUCCGCGGACUCUGAGCCCAGACUCGUGGAGCUCGGCGCUCACCUUGGCGUGCGGCUCCGUGGCGUACGCACGGUAGUUAGCGGAGGACCGGCGUCGGACCGGGGCCGGCGCGGGAGGCGGGCAGCCCGCCUGCGGUUGGGGGAACGGAGCCGCGUCACCGCCGGAUUCCCCAGCCCCCCUGCACAAGGUCUCCUGGGGCUACAGCCUCCCGCCCCAGGUCCCGCCCUGCUGCUCCCUCCCUUGCCGGGCGCCUCCCGCCCGCGUCUGCUCUCACCGCAUCGUUGCUGCUGGAGGAAGAGAGACCGGGAGCGAGGGGUUAACAUGGGCCUGUGUCCUGUCCUGCCAGCCCAACAGCUCCCCCGUCCUCGGGUCCUAGGAGGUCUGAUUCCCAAACUUCCGUCGUACAGACACCCGGGAGUCCUGUCUCCACCUCCCCUCUCAGGCCGUGUGCCCAGCCUCGCAGGUCUCAACCUCUCAGGACCCCGGGAGAUCGCCCCACCUCUCGCCGCCUCGGACCUUGGGAUUCCGGGUUACCAGGCUGCACUCACUUGUCCGCCAUGCUGAGACUCAGGCCAGGGCUUGCAGGAGGCAGAGAAGGGGCAAGAGGCGCUUGGAGGGUCAGUAAGGAGGCGUCCGGGGUGACCUUGAAGGCCCCGGGGACUUUGGUCUCCUCCGGCCUGCCCAAGCUUCCCGGAGGACACUGAGAUAAAGGGCGAGAACUGAGACUAAAUAUACUGCUGCCGCCUCCUCCCCCUGCCCAGGAUGCGAGAUAACUGGGGCGCGUGAGGGGUGGGGUGGGCCAUGCUCCAGCUGGAUCACCCUUCCACCUUGGCGGCCUGGGGAUCCAGCCCCCUCCUCCUUCCGACCUAGGAGUCCAGGCCCCCAGCCCCCUCCUCCCCCAGACCCAGGAGUCCAGGCCCCCAGCCCCUCCUCCCUCAGACCCAGGAGUCCUGACCUCCAGCCCCUCCUNNNNNNNNNNNNNNNNNNNNNNNNNNNNNNNNNNNNNNNNNNNNNNNNNNNNNNNNNNNNNNNNNNNNNNNNNNNNNNNNNNNNNNNNNNNNNNNNNNNNNNNNNNNNNNNNNNNNNNNNNNNNNNNNNNNNNNNNNNNNNNNNNNNNNNNNNNNNNNNNNNNNNNNNNNNNNNNNNNNNNNNNNNNNNNNNNNNNNNNNNNNNNNNNNNNNNNNNNNNNNNNNNNNNNNNNNNNNNNNNNNNNNNNNNNNNNNNNNNNNNNNNNNNNNNNNNNNNNNNNNNNNNNNNNNNNNNNNNNNNNNNNNNNNNNNNNNNNNNNNNNNCCUCAGACCCAGGAGUCCUGACCCCUCAGCCCCUCCUCCCUCAGACCCAGGAGACCAGACCCCUCAGCCCUGCCUCCCUCAGACCCAGGAGUCCAGACCCCCAGACCCUCCUCCCUCAGACCCAGGAGUCCAGGCCCCCAGCCCCUUCCUUCCUCAGACCCAGGAGUCUGGGCUCCACCUCCACGCUAAAGUGCAGUCUCCAUGAGAGCUAUGGUCAGUUUCACUGCCCCAGACCUCUUAGCCACUCAAUAAAUUUUGAUUUAUUUCAGGAUCCAGGUGUGGCCCAGACUCUCGCAGGCAACAGCACAGAGAAACCCACUUCUAGUUUACUUGGAACUAGGUCUCCUCUCUUGACCACCCUAGGCCCUCCCCUCCCCCAGCCCUGGAGACAAGACUGAGGACAGGAAAGCUACACGGGCACACGGAGAAGAGGACCCCGCUCUCUUUACUUGGACCGUGUGGGUGCUGACUAGCCGUGGAGAGCAGACCACCCCAAACCCCAGUUAAAACAGGACCUCUGGCGACAAGGGGACCACACAGAGGGCCUGAGCCUCAGGGCCAGAUCGCCAGGCUGUGUGUAGAGGCUCAGGAAUGGGAUGGAGAACUCUGAGAGAACCAUCUAGAAUUCUAAGAACAGACUAUAGCAUCCCAGGAAUGUAAUCUGAAAUUCUAGCAACACCUCUGAAGCUGAUUGAGAAUGUUGAGAGUGUAACUGAGUAUUCUACAGGCGGGCUCUACUUCCGGGACCUGACUAGAGGUCAGAGAUGGGGGGCUGGGUAUCUGGCAGUCGGGGCAGACUCCCUGGUUUGGGGGUCUGACUCCCUGUGGGCGGAGCCUGAACCUCUGAGAGUGAAGCCCGAGACUCUGAGGGUAGUUUGAGGCGUUCAGAGGGUGGGGUCUUGCCUUCCGAAGGCUGGGUCAGGCCCUCCGGGGGCGGGUUCCUUGCCUCAAGGGGCGGGACCAGGGCGUCAGGGGGCGGAGUCGCGGGUUGUACAGAGGGCGGGACCAGGGCGCCAGGGGGCGGAGUCGUGGAUUGCACAGCGGCGUGGCUGCGGAGGCAAGCAGAGUCCCCGGACUUGUAGAAGCGUGCGAAGGUCUCAGAGGGCCUGUCCUGGUUCUGCGGGGUGAAUCCAGCCGCCCGAGCUAGCUCCCCGACCCUGGCGGAAAACCCCUGCAGCUGCUCUUGCCGCAGGUCUACCAGGUACCUGCAACCAGGAAGCGGUGUGUUAGGGGUCCUGGCUGACGGCCGUCAGCCUGGACGUUCCCUACCCUGUCCUCUGCCGGCUCACCGGGCUAAUUCCACGAUCAGGUGUCCUCCGGGAGCCACGCAAGCCCCGAGGUCGGGGCUGAGAAGAUGCACCAUCCUGGGCAGAGAAAAGGGGAGGACUGAGGCUCAGACUUGCAGGUCCCGAGGGAAGAGUGGGGCUGGGGGAUCCGCCCACUGAUUGAGGACGGUCUGGGGGCCAAGAUUCCUGGGCCUAAGGGAGGAGAUGUUGGGGGAGAGAAGUCCGGGAACCUCCCUCUUACCCACAGGCCACGUAGAGAAGCUGGAACCGUCCCUCGUAGCAGCUCUUGUGGUGAAGGGUUUGGGCAGAGCCGAGAGGCAGGAAGUGAACGGUGAAUUCCGGGGAAGGGGCAGCUGGGGAAGACUCGCAGAGUUAGACAACAGACAAAGCUUGGAGAUAAGACUCUUUGCUUGUCUUGAAGCCCUUCCUCACAAGUGGGUUCCUGGAAAAUUCUGGGAAAGUCAGCCCGGCAGGUAGAGAGACCCAUCUUACAGACUAGGCAACUGAGACUCAAAAGAGGGCAAGAAUGGGUGGCCCUUCCUGGUGCCACAGGACAUCCAGGAAGAACCAGGUUGGGGGAUAGUUACAAGGAGGCAGACCGGAAUUGAGGUGUGUGUGGGGGGGUGCUGGGACACAGCACCUUGUUAGAAUGUUCUCGUCUUUUAGUCUUCUGCAGGUAGGAUUAGAAUUCUAUCAGAAUGGGCAAACCAUAAGAGACUCUUAAAUGCAGAGAACAAACUGAGGGUUGAUGGGGGGAGGGGGAGAGGGGAAAGUGGGUGAUGGGCAUUGAGGAGGGCACUUGUUGGGAUGAGCACUGGGUAUUGUAUGGAAGUCAAAUCGACAAUAUAUUUAUUUUUUUUUAAUUUUUUUUCAACGUUUAUUUAUUUUUGGGACAGAGAGAGACAGAGCAUGAACGGGGGAGGGGCAGAGAGAGAGGGAGACACAGAAUCGGAAACAGGCUCCAGGCUCCGAGCCAUCAGCCCAGAGCCUGACGCGGGGCUCGAACUCACGGACCGCGAGAUCGUGACCUGGCUGAAGUCAGACGCUUAACCGACUGCGCCACCCAGGCGCCCCAAUAAAUUAUAUUUAAAGAAAACAAUUCUAUCUGAAUGACAAUAAUGGUGUUAGGAUUUAGGAAAGGGAGAGAAAUACAAAGAGAAGAGAGAAAAAUCGACAACCACAGGUACAAGAGACCAUUUGUCCAGGCAUUGGAGGCCAUAUCAGUACACACUCUGGGCUCGAAAUCCCUGGAACCCGAAGCCCAGGAUGGGGGUCCGGGUCCCACUCCUCCCCGGAGGAUGAUGUGGCCACUGUGUCACCCAACUCGCAUUUCAAGAGGGUGAGCUGACUGACACGCUUACCGCGCUCCGGGCUUCCAGGGCCCUCGCCGUGCACCUGCUCAGGGGUUCCGUGGUUGGCUGUCGGGCGCCCCCAGGCGGCCACCNCGGCCACCUCUCGGAACAGCUCCGUCACGUUGUGCUGGGUGAUCUCACUCGCGGUCUGGGGAGAGAAGGGGCGCGGCCAGGGUGACCCGGCAGGGCCUAGAGUACAGCACCCCUCCCCCAACGCCCAGCGCGAGCAUGCGGUGACGGAUGGGAUGCUGGUUAGUUUGGAUUUCCAGACUGGGCUGAGAAAGUAUGGGAGGGGGCGGGGCCUCGAAAACCCUCUCCCAGAACCCAGCACCUCCAGGCGCCCACCUUGACUGGCUGUCCGUUGCUGGUCCGCAGGAGGCUCUCAUCGUCCGCUUCGAUGCCAAAGGCCACGAAUGGUCCCGUGGCAACGUCCCCCCAGUACCCGCGCGCUGCGACACGCUCCCCGUGCUUGAGAAAGCAAGGAGCGAAGAGGCAGGUAGGGUCAACGUCCAAGACCCCGGUUCCUAUGUCCCCGAAAAGAAGGAUCGGCCAGGGCAGGGAGGUAGACACUCACAUGGCUCAGGAGGCGGCCAGACGCAAGGGUCCGGUUGGGCACGUGGUAGGCGCUGGAGUCUCUGAGUUCAAAGGCGACGCCUGUGUCCCUCCAACGCCGGAACUCGCGAGUGUGGAUGACUCGGGCCUGGGUAGGGAGAGGAAUGAACAGAAGCCUAAGUAAAUCUGGCAUAUGGCUCCCCAGCGUCCUCCCUCGGACCCAGGAGUCCAGGCCCCCAGACCCUCCUCCCUCAGAGACCAGACUGCCAGUCCCUCCUCCCUCGGACCCAGGAGUCCGGCCCCUCAGCCCCUCCUCCCUCGGACCCAGGAAUCAGGCCCCCAGCCCUUCCUCCCCCGGACCCGGGAAUCAGCCCCUCCUCCCUCAGACCC
rnacentral:lncRNA from 1 species